rnacentral:rRNA from 1 species
GACGAACGCUGGCGGCGUGCUUAACACAUGCAAGUCGAACGGAAAGGCCCUGCUUUUGUGGGGUGCUCGAGUGGCGAACGGGUGAGUAACACGUGAGUAACCUGCCCUUGACUUUGGGAUAACUUCAGGAAACUGGGGCUAAUACCGGAUAGGAGCUCCUGCUGCAUGGUGGUGGUUGGAAAGUUUCGGCGGGUGGGGAUGGACUCGCGGCUUAUCAGCUUGUUGGUGGUGUAGUGGCUUACCAAGGCUUUGACGGGUAGCCGGCCUGAGAGGGUGACCGGGCACAUUGGGACUGAGAUACGGCGCAGACUCCUACGGGCGGCAGCAGUGGGGAAUAUUGCACAAUGGGCGGAAGCCUGAUGCAGCAACGCCGCGUGCGGGAUGACGGCCUUCGGGUUGUAAACCGCUUUCGCCUGUGACGAAGCGUGAGUGACGGUAAUGGGUAAAGAAGCACCGGCUAACUACGUG